rnacentral:rRNA from 1 species
GACGAACGCUGGCGGCGUGCUUAACACGUGCAAGUCGAACGAUGAAGAAGAGAAACGCGAACUUCGGUUCAAAUUUCACUUCGGAUUAGUGGCAGACGGGUGAGUAACGCGUGAGCAACCUACCUCUUACAAAGGGAUAGCCUCGGGAAACCGUGAUUAAUACCAUAUGACACAUUCAUAAGGCAUCUUAAGAAUGUUAAAGCUACGGCGGUAAGAGAUGGGCUCGCGUCCCAUUAGCUAGUUGGUGAGGUAACGGCCCACCAAGGCGACGAUGGGUAACCGGCCUGAGAGGGUGAACGGUCACAUUGGAACUGAGACGCGGUCCAAACUCCUACGGGAGGCAGCAGUGGGGAAUAUUGCACAAUGGAGGGAACUCUGAUGCAGCGACGCCGCGUGAGCGAUGAAGGAAUUCGUUUCGUAAAGCUCUGUUCUAUGGGAAGAAAAGGACUGUACCAUAGGAGAAAGCCCCGGCUAAAUACGUG